rnacentral:rRNA from 1 species
UCGAUUGAGUUUGAUCAUGGCUCAGGAUGAACGCUGGCGGCGUGCUUAACACAUGCAAGUCGAACGUGAAGGUGGAGCAAUCCAUCUGAAAGUGGCGAACGGGUGAGUAACACGUGGGUGACCUGCCUCGGGGUGGGGGAUAACCAUGGGAAACCGUGGCUAAUACCGCAUGGGCUUGUUAGACUUGGCGUCUAACGAGUAAAGCUUUAGUGCUUCGAGAGGGGCCUGCGUCCGAUUAGGUAGUUGGUGAGGUAAUGGCUCACCAAGCCGAUGAUCGGUAGCUGGUCUGAGAGGACGAUCAGCCACACGGGAACUGAGAAACGGUCCCGACUCCUACGGGGGGCAGCAGUGAGGAAUAUUGGGCAAUGGACGCAAGUCUGACCCAGCAACGCCGCGUGGAGGAUGAAGGUUCUUGGAUCGUAAACUCCUUUUGCAGGGGAAAAGCAAGGAUGGUACCCUGAGAAUAAGUCACGGCUAACUACGUGCCAGCAGCCGCGGUAAUACGUAGGUGACAAGCGUUAUCCGGAUUUAUUGGGCGUAAAGCGCACGCAGGCGGCCCUUCAAGUCUGACGUGAAAUCUCUCGGCUUAACCGGGAGCGGUCGUUGGAAACUGAGGGGCUUGAGGCGAUGAGAGGGGUGUGGAAUUCCCGGUGUAGUGGUGGAAUGCGUAGAUAUCGGGAGGAACAUCAGUGGCGAAAGCGGCACCCUGGCAUUAGCCUGACGCUCAUGUGCGAAAGCGUGGGGAGCGAACGG